GACAGAGGAUGCAAGCGUUAUCCGGAAUGAUUGGGCGUAAAGCGUCUGUAGGUGGCUUUUUAAGUCCGCCGUCAAAUCCCAGGGCUCAACCCUGGACAGGCGGUGGAAACUACCAAGCUGGAGUACGGUAGGGGCAGAGGGAAUUUCCGGUGGAGCGGUGAAAUGCGUAGAUAUCGGGAAGAACACCAAAGGCGAAAGCACUUUGCUGGGCCGACACUGACACUGAGAGACGAAAGCUAGGGGAGCGAAUGGG
rnacentral:rRNA from 1 species